rnacentral:rRNA from 1 species
CAGUACGGCCAUGCCACCCUGAACGUGCCUGAGCUCGUCUGAUCUCGGAAGCUAAGCAGGGCUGGGCCUGGUUAGUACCUGGAUGGGAGAAAAAUGAAAAACUAACAUUGGACAAU